rnacentral:rRNA from 1 species
AUUGAACGCUGGCGGCAUGCCUUACACAUGCAAGUCGAACGGUAACGGGCCUUCGGGUGCCGACGAGUGGCGAACGGGUGAGUAAUAUAUCGGAACGUACCUUUCAGUGGGGGAUAACGUAGCGAAAGUUACGCUAAUACCGCAUAUUCUGUGCGCAGGAAAGCAGGGGACCUUCGGGCCUUGCGCUGAUUGAGCGGCCGAUAUCAGAUUAGCUAGUUGGUGAGGUAAAGGCUCACCAAGGCGACGAUCUGUAGCGGGUCUGAGAGGAUGAUCCGCCACACUGGAACUGAGACACGGUCCAGACUCCUACGGGAGGCAGCAGUGGGGAAUUUUGGACAAUGGGGGCAACCCUGAUCCAGCCAUGCCGCGUGAGUGAAGAAGGCCUUCGGGUUGUAAAGCUCUUUCGGCCGGGAAGAAAUCGUAUGGGCUAAUACCCUGUGCGGAUGACGGUACCGGCAUAAGAAGCACCGGCUAACUACGUGCCAGCAGCCGCGGUAAUACGUAGGGUGCGAGCGUUAAUCGGAAUUACUGGGCGUAAAGCGUGCGCAGGCGGUUUUGUAAGACAGGCGUGAAAUCCCCGGGCUCAACCUGGGAACUGCGCUUGUGACUGCAAGGCUAGAGUAUGGCAGAGGGGGGUGGAAUUCCACGUGUAGCAGUGAAAUGCGUAGAGAUGUGGAGGAACACCAAUGGCGAAGGCAGCCCCCUGGGCCAAUACUGACGCUCAUGCACGAAAGCGUGGGUAGCAAACAGGAUUAGAUACCCUGGUAGUCCACGCCCUAAACGAUGUCAACUAGGUGUUGGGUGGGUAAAA